rnacentral:rRNA from 1 species
UACGUAUGGUGCAAGCGUUAUCCGGAUUUACUGGGUGUAAAGGGAGCGUAGACGGAGUGGCAAGUCUGAUGUGAAAGCCCGGGGCUCAACCCCGGGACUGCAUUGGAAACUGUCAAUCUAGAGUACCGGAGAGGUAAGCGGAAUUCCUAGUGUAGCGGUGAAAUGCGUAGAUAUUAGGAGGAACACCAGUGGCGAAGGCGGCUUACUGGACGGUAACUGACGUUGAGGCUCGAAAGCGUGGGGAGCAAACAGG